GAUCACCUGGGAACUAACUCAUGAAAGUACAGGUUCUGACUAAGGGCCUGGGGUGGAGCUGAAAUCCUGCUUUUCUGACACAGUACUAGAUGAUGCCACUGGCAAGGCUGGGAAGGACUUAUUCCCCAAAGAUGAUACAGACAACAUGCUCACAAGUAAAUGAACAUUCGUGGAUGUCUGGGAGGUGCAAAAUAUCAUACCAAAUGCUAUGUCAUCAUCCACUACCUUGAGGUUAAUAUCCACAUCAAGAUUCAACCAAAGCCAACGUAUGAACAAGUAAAAAUUCAUAAAAGACAGAAAACUUACUACCUCAUUGGUAGAAGCACCAAGAAUCCACUGGGGAGCUUUUUUUUUCCCACAAUGCUAGCUAUUUCACUUCUAUGUACAUACCAGAAAUGUGAGCAGAUAUUGGCCAAAAAACACACAAAAAAUGUUCAUGAUAUCAUUACUUCAUAAUAGCACCAAACUCGAAACAUCCCUACUGAUCAUAAACAGUUGAAUAAAAUUAGCGUGUAACUUCUCACGGAAUAUAUGUGGCUUUUUCAGUAGA